rnacentral:rRNA from 1 species
GUCCAAUUUCUUUGGAACAAGAUGUCAUGGAGGGUGAGAACCCCGUCUGUGGCUCGGAUACCAUUGUAAUUGUGUCGUAUCUUCGAAGAGUCGGGUUGUUUGGGAAUGCAGCUCAAAAUGGGUGGUAAAUUUCAUCUAAGGCUAAAUAUUGGCGAGAGACCGAUAGCAAACAAGUAGAGUGAUCGAAAGAUGAAAAGUACUUUGAAAAGAGAGUGAAACAGUACGUGAAAUUGUUGAAAGGGAAGCGUUUGGCAUCAGCCCAUGGCACCCGUCGAUCAUCCAGGCUUCUGUCUGGUGCACUUGUCGGGUGUCGGGCCAGCGUCGACUUUGCCUGCUGGAUAAAGGCCUUGGGAAUGUGUCUCCCCUGGGAGAGUUACAGCCCUUGGUGUCAUGCAGUGUGGUGGGGUCGUGGUCCGCGGUUUAUCCUAGGACGCUGGCGUAAUGGUUCCAAGCGACCCGUCUUGAAACACGGACCAAGGAGUCUAACAUCUAUGCGAGUGUUUGGGUGUCAAGCCCGUCCGCGCAAUGAAAGUGAAUGCAGGCGGGAGCCUUUAGAGGG